UGGGGAAUAUUGGGCAAUGGGCGCAAGCCUGACCCAGCCAUGCCGCGUGAGUGAUGAAGGCCUUCGGGUCGUAAAGCUCUGUGGGGAGGGACGAAACCGUCUAUGGCUAAUAUCCAUGGAUCUUGACGGUACCUCCUUAGCAAGCACCGGCUAACUCCGUGCCAGCAGCCGCGGUAAUACGGAGGGUGCAAACGUUGCUCGGAAUCAUUGGGCGUAAAGCGCACGUAGGCGGUCCGCUAAGUCGGGUGUGAAAGCCCUCGGCUCAACCGAGGAAGUGCAUUCGAAACUGACGGACUUGAGUAUGGAAGAGGGUCGUGGAAUUCCCGGUGUAGAGGUGAAAUUCGUAGAUAUCGGGAGGAACACCAGUGGCGAAGGCGGCGACCUGGGCCAAUACUGACGCUGAGGUGCGAAAGCGUGGGGAGCAAACAGGAUUAGAUACCCCUGUAGUCC
rnacentral:rRNA from 1 species